GAUGAACGCUGGCGGCGUGCUUAACACAUGCAAGUCGAACGGUGAAGCAGGAGCUUGCUCCUGUGGAUCAGUGGCGAACGGGUGAGUAACACGUGAGCAAUCUGCCCUGGACUCUGGGAUAAGCGUUGGAAACGACGUCUAAUACCGGAUACGAGGCGUGGGGGCAUCCCCAACGCCUGGAAAGAACUACGGUCCAGGAUGAGCUCGCGGCAUAUCAGGUAGUUGGUGAGGUAACGGCUCACCAAGCCUACGACGGGUAGCCGGCCUGAGAGGGUGACCGGACACACUGGGACUGAGACACGGCCCAGACUCCUACGGGAGGCAGCAGUGGGGAAUAUUGCACAAUGGGCGCAAGCCUGAUGCAGCAACGCCGCGUGAGGGACGACGGCCUUCGGGUUGUAAACCUCUUUUAGCAGGGAAGAAGCGAAAGUGACGGUACCUGCAGAAAAAGCACCGGCUAACUACGUGCCAGCCGCCGCCGUAACAC
rnacentral:rRNA from 1 species